rnacentral:siRNA from 1 species
GGAUAGGAUCAGUUUGUUGC